UAAGUUAAAAUACCAAUAUAUUUUCAAUUUUAAUUCUUACCCAACAAAAGUAAUAUUUUCACUUCUGAACCGAAUCUUUCUUCCACUCAAACGUAUUAUUUCCCAUUUUUAUUAUCAUCCUGUACUAAAAAAGAUUUUUGAGGCAAAUUCUAGAUAGAAUAAUAAGAAGACUCACAGCCUCCCCUCGAGAUCCGUAUAAUUCACGUAUCGUGUGCACUCCUUAAAUCACGCACUCCUCUCCAAGUCAUUCGGCCUGGUGAAUUCUCGGGAUCCGACCAAGAGCUUACAAUCGGACUUUUUCGCUUCAGGGACGUGGCGCUUUUUUUCCGCCGCGAGGAGGCGAGAUUUAAAUCUUUGGAUUAAAAGGGAACGGCAAGAAAUGCGGUCCAUGAUGGAAUUUGUUUUCCGGAGGGAGCUAAAUCGUGUGCAGAUUCCGCCGGCCUGUGUUACGACCUGAAACAAAUGUAAGCCAUUGGAUUACCGAAAAGCGGCGGUCGGACGAGCCACGAGGUGUUGGCUCGUGUUGAACCAACCACUCCUUACCCGUUAACUCCUUCUCCUACACGGAUGUACACUUGUCUGAACGAUUCCAGAAGAAUUUUACGUUUCCAAAUCGUUAAAGUUGGACGAAUCUCCGCUCCGUACAAGGAUUUAUGCGGGGGAGGAAAGAAGUAGGGCGCUCACAAUGCGAUCGUUUGUCACGGAGAGCUGUCGUCGGGGCGGUUUUUAUAUCCUCGCAUUGGCGACGACAACACGCGGCUCAACUCGUGGGGUGGAAGGGGAGGGAAACGGAGUUAACGACGGAAACUUAGUCGAUUCCUUGCGUGAAACCUGUGCAUUCUACGGGAUAUCCCCCGUUUGACUAAUACGAUACAGGGAUUCUAAGAUUUAUGGGAUGUCUGGUCGACGGAUCAUCCGAUCGAGCGAAGAGCGACCAUCUGGAUUGGAAAAUGGAUUUCGCAGAAGGUAACUUUCUUCCCUUUUUUUUGUAUUUUCAGUAUUAAAUUCAAUAAAUACUUGAUGUUAUAUUUUUAGAUAUUUUAUUUUACAUUUUUGUGUCGCAAAUAUUUUAUCCUCUAACGUUUAUGUAAUUUAUUUUAGCGAACUUUCAAGCUGAUAACCUUUCACAAUAUGGA